UACAGAGGGUGCGAGCGUUGUCCGGAAUUACUGGGCGUAAAGGGCUCGUAGGCGGUUUGUCGCGUCGGGAGUGAAAACUCAGGGCUUAACCCUGAGCCUGCUUCCGAUACGGGGCGGACUAGAGUUCGGCAGGGGGAGACUGGAAUUCCUGGUGUAGCGGUGAAAUGCGCAGAUAUCAGGAGGAACACCGGUGGCGAAGGCGGGUCUCUGGGCCGAUACUGACGCUGGAGGAGCGAAAGCGUGGGGAGCGAACAGG
rnacentral:rRNA from 1 species